rnacentral:lncRNA from 1 species
CCCCCAGCCCCCUACUUCCACAGAAGUGGUGCCUCUCCAUUCCAGAUCCCUUUCUUGGUACUUGGAACCUGAGAACUCACUGCCCAAGUGGCCUCAAGUCUGCUUCCAGGGUCUGCCUUCUCUAAGUCUGUCCCGCAAAUUGGCCUGGCCACAAUUCACAGAGUUGCCAAGAGAGAGCUGAGAAGAGUGGAAUCACGUAAAUGAAGAUGUCUGUCCACACCUGUGAAGACAAGACCCCACCGCACUGAGGGAGCUGGGGGAGGGAAGCAAAGGGAGCUUGUCCCUGAGUAGGGAGGAAGCCAGGAAGCGACAGUCCCUGUGCUACUCCACUUCAACCCAGAAUUUGGAAGGUCUGACAGUUUCAAAUUUGAGCUCAGCCUGACAGGUUGUUAUUAAGAAAUAUUUUUCAAGGCAGGAAGGAUAAUACAUAAUUGACUUAGUUUAUUAGUUUGAUUUAUAAUUUUCAAAUAUUUAGACCUAUGGCACCAUUAAAAGAUAAACUGGGACACAAUAAAAUUUUUAAAGAGUUUAUUUGGGAAAAUAGUGAUUUAUGAAUCAGGAAGUUCCAAAAAGAGGUUUCAGGCUCUGCUGAAGAAGCAUAUGGGCGGGGAGGAGCCAAGAUGGCCGAAUAUGAACAGCUCCUGUCUACAGCUCCCAGUGUGAGCGACGCAGAAGACGGGUGAUUUCUGCGUUUCCAUCUGAGGUACCGGGUUCAUCUCACUAGGGAGUGCCAGACAGUGGGCGCAGGUCAGUGGGUGCGCGCACCAUGCGCGAGCCGAAGCAGGGCGAGGCAUUGCCUCACUUGGGAAGCGCAAGGGGUCAGGGAGUUCCCUUUCCCAGUCAAAGAAAGGGGUGAUGGACGCACCUGGAAAAUCGGGUCACUCCCACGCGAAUAUUGCGCUUUUCAGACCGGCUUAAAAAACGGCGCACCAUGAGAUCAUAUCCCGCACCUGGCUCGGAGGGUCCUACGCCCACGGAGUCUCGCUGAUUGCUAGCACAGCAGUCUGAGAUCAAAC